CAGAGUUGCAAAACUCCCAACCCUUUGUGAAUCAACUAGACAGUUGCCUCGGCGGGAAGCCCUUUAGGGGGCUGCCCGCCGGAGGACCACUAAACUCUUGUAUUUUGGCCUCUCUGAGUAAUUCUAAAAUGAAUCA
rnacentral:misc_RNA from 1 species